rnacentral:rRNA from 1 species
UACGGGGGGGGCAAGCGUUGUUCGGAAUUACUGGGCGUAAAGGGCUCGUAGGCGGCCAACUAAGUCGGAUGUGAAAUCCCCAGGCUCAACUUGGGAACUGCAUCCGAUACUGGAUGGCUUGAAUUCGGGAGAGGGAUGCAGAAUUCCAGGUGUAGCGGUGAAAUGCGUAGAAAUCUGGAGGAAUACCGGUGGCGAAGGCGGCAUCCUGGACCGACAUUGACGCUGAGGAGCGAAAGCUAGGGGAGCAAACGGG